rnacentral:lncRNA from 1 species
GCACUCGGACGGUCGCUCUGAUUGGUUCUUUCGGACGGAUUUAAAAAUCAAGUCCUCACCACCCGACCUGCCGGCACCGGAGUUACAGUGUUUUUUUGUUGUUGUGGGGAGGCGGAGCCCACGUGCUCUUGCAGAGUCUGAAGGCCUUUUGGAACCGCUAUUUCCGCAAGAAAGUAGGAACCGGCCCGGCUGAUUAGGAGAGUGUGGUCUUUCACCUACAGCCGGCGGAAUUGUGCGGGCUGGCGAACAUUCUUAAUGCUGCGCACUAGGAGAAUUCACUUCUGAGGUCUUCGAACCAGAAAACAAGAACACUUGACUGUUUAAAAAAACACAGGUGCCUGUGCCGUGUGAUAACCAGGAGAUACAGCCCAGGGCGGGGGAGUACGUGUCCGACCAAAGCAGCCUCCUACCCGGCACCACCACUACUGGCCGAGAGGCACUGGGCAAACUAGUCUCUUCACCCUUAUCCACCUACUAGGGUGGUUACGAGAACGAAGUGAGAUCAUCCGUGUAAAGCUCUCAGCGACAUGCCAUGUGGUAUUCAAAGGACGGCUGCUUCCUGUUCUGCCUUGGUUGUCACCUAAUCAUCUGCGAUUUCUACCGGAACAAUGAAGGUGAUGUUUCCACCUCAAAGACAAAGCUUAAAACCACAGCAAGUAACUGCUUGGGGUUUUGCAUUCCACAGUCUUGGACUCACAGCAAGCUUCCUGUUCCCUCUUGGCUGGCAGACCUGAAGGGCAGACGAUGAAUGGUUUGAUUCUUAUAGUUGGAGAAUCUGCUCUGGCUUUCAGCCCUUAAGAUUCUGAGUGCCAGACCAGGUGCUAUUAUUUUUUUUAAGCUCCUCCUAGAGAUUUGGAUUUCACUUGAAGAUAAUAGCAAGAAAACAGACUGAGCUAGGCAUCUGGGCAAAGACCAUAUCCAAUAAAGAUCCAGACAUCCGUGUAUAUCCCA